UGAACUGACAGGAAUCACGAAAAUCUUAUUUGUUAUGAAAAACUAUAUAAUUCUCCUUAACCUUUGUAAAAUGUGUAAUUUUUUUAAUUCUUAUAAUUUGGAACAUUUUUGAAAAACAGAGUUAGAACCACUUUAGUUCCUAAAUUCAAAAAUAUAUGCAGCAAAUAAGAAUACUUUCUCCCCCCUACACGAGUAGAAAAGAUGUGAUAAAGAUCUUCCGACUAUCUCCGUACUUCAUUUCUAGUCUUUAUGACAGGGCAAAAAGCAUUGUGUCCUUGGCAGAUAAACCUCGUGCUUGAUAGUCAUAACGAAUUGCAAAAGCUUUGCAAUUUGGCGUGAACGUUGGAUGGCGCUUAAUUUUCAAAUAUUGUAACCCGACUUCAAUCUUUUUCUCUUGUAUUCUUAUCAAGGGAUAUUUGACAAUAGGAAGUCUUUUUUUUUUUUUUUUUUUUUUUUUUUUUUCAAUUUUUGAAACAGUCACGGAAAUAAAUGCUUUCAUCGAAAGAAGCAAUAGAUCAAACUGAUUUUGUAAGGCACGCUCAAACUCAAAGUGGAUGCAGGCAUAAUGCACAAUCUAAAAACAAUUACCAGAGCACAUUAUUUUUAACGUAAGAUUACGUUCCUCCAUAAUGGCCUGAUGGAAAAGUAAAAAUUAAGAUUCCAAAUUGAGUUACAGCCAAACUGUGAAAAAUUAAAAAUAGAAAAUAAAACAGAAAAACUACUCAAGAAAGAUAAAUUCAGGACAAAUAAGAAUGAAACGUUUUGAAAGUGGAGCUGUGGAACGUAAAAACUCGAUGGAAAAGAGGAAAUCUAUUGAUAAAUUACGAAAGCUGACCCAGCUGAAUUUUGUAUUAAAAUUAACACAAAUUCUGCAUCUAUAUCUACCACUACCACUUCUACCAGUAUAUCCAACAAUACAACUUGAAGUUGAAGGACAAGGACGGCGAGAAACCGACUUUUUAAGUGUUCAAGAAGAAACAAUAAGACCUACUGAAAUAAAUACAAUAACUGAUGAGGUCAUGGACGCUUCAAGUAUUUUUCUUGAAAGUCCAGAUCCAGGGUUGUGACCAUCAUAUAUCGACAAGAAUUUACAGUCGUACUAUAUUGAGAAAAGUCCGUCAGUUUGUUCCAACAAAUAUCUUAAUUUUGAAAAAUCAGCACAUAUAUACAACGAAUGAAAUGCUAAAACUAAAACAAGAUACCUUUCUGAGAUGUUGUUCAAGGAAGAGCUACGUAAUGGUAAGGCUGUAGACCACGAAUAGCUAAUAUAUUCUCCAUCAUAAGCAAAUGUAUGCUGUUUCGUAUGCAAAUUGUUUUCAUCUACCAAAUAUACAUUCAACACUAGCGAAUUCAGUGACUGGAAGCAUGCAAGUACGGUUACUUCACGACAUGAAAAGUCACCUGAACGCAGAAAGUGUAUGAUGCGCUACCACAGUCGUUUACAAUUAAUCUAGUCGAGCAGGCAGCUAACUUAUCAUACAUUUACUACAGGCAAUGUUAUUUAUUAAUUUACUACAGGCAAGACCCAAAAUAGCGAAACAAUAACAUUGUUACGGUUUUUAUAUUGAUUUAUUUAGUUUACUAUUUUUAAUAGAAUUGUUAUUAAAUUGUUUCAUUUCCUCGUGCAGUGCUGCACUCGACUUAUUUGAAGAGAAAGCUAUGCAGGAAAAAUUAAAAAUAGAGGAGCACGCGCAUUUAAUUAAAUAGAUAUCUCGUAAUCGCACGCUUUUGCUUUUCGGGAAAAUUCGAGAAAAUACCAGAAUAUGCUCGUGUGUGAUUUAAAAAGAUUAUAAAAGGAGGAAAGCCUCUCAAUUAGUUAGCUGUUUUAUGAGUUUAGUUUAUAAAACUGCUGUUGUUUACUGUAGCGAAUUCGCGGUGACAAUCGGAUUAGUUUUCUUUACGUUUCUCUGUUUUGAAUGAAGUUCUGUUGAGCGUUUAAGUAGUUUGAAAGUAACUACUGUGAGAUAUUGCAAAAUUGCACGAAUAUCUGAGAAAAUAAGCAUCUUAUUUUAUUUGUAGUGAUAAUAAUAAAUUUUUAUUC